UGUAUUUAUUAGAUAAAAAACCAAUGCCCUUCGGGGCUUUUUGGUGAUUCAUGAUAACUUUACGGAUCGCAUAGCCUUGCGCUGGCGACGGUUCAUUCAAAUUUCUGCCCUAUCAACUUUCGAUGGUAAGGUAUUGGCUUACCAUGGUUUCAACGGGUAACGGGGAAUUAGGGUUCGAUUCCGGAGAGGGAGCCUGAGAAACGGCUACCACAUCCAAGGAAGGCAGCAGGCGCGCAAAUUACCCAAUCCCGACACGGGGAGGUAGUGACAAUAAAUACUGAUACAGGGCUCUUUUGGGUCUUGUAAUUGGAAUGAGUACAAUUUAAACCUCUUAACGAGGAACAAUUGGAGGGCAAGUCUGGUGCCAGCAGCCGCGGUAAUUCCAGCUCCAAUAGCGUAUAUUAAAGUUGUUGCAGUUAAAAAGCUCGUAGUUGAAACUUGGGCCUGGCUGGCGGGUCCGCCUCACCGCGUGCACUCGUCCGGCCGGGCCUUCCUUCUGAAGAACCUCAUGCCCUUCACUGGGCGUGCUGGGGAAACCAGG
rnacentral:rRNA from 1 species